rnacentral:misc_RNA from 1 species
AAUCCAACACGCAGUAGCGUCCCUUUGUGCCUCGCCUCGUUGGACCUCUGCAAUUGAAACUCCCUCUUUACCGUUUCUCAACGUUUACCCCAUUUUUCCUUCCGCCGAUCCUCCGCCUCCGCUUAAUUCCCUUUUCUAUUCGCUAAUUCUUCCAUUUUCUCUCCCCCCCGAUCUCCUUUUUCCCACCGGAAUGUCAUACGCCUACCUUUUCAAGUACAUCAUCAUUGGUGAUACUGGAGUUGGAAAAUCAUGUCUCCUUCUCCAGUUUACCGACAAGAGAUUCCAGCCUGUUCAUGACUUGACUAUUGGUGUAGAAUUUGGUGCGAGGAUGAUCACCAUCGACAAUAAACCAAUCAAGUUGCAAAUUUGGGAUACGGCUGGUCAAGAAUCUUUCAGGUCUAUUACGAGGUCCUACUAUAGAGGAGCUGCUGGUGCAUUGCUUGUCUACGACAUCACAAGAAGGG